rnacentral:rRNA from 1 species
ACUCCUACGGGAGGCAGCAGUGGGGAAUAUUGCACAAUGGGGGAAACCCUGAUGCAGCCAUGCCGCGUGUGUGAAGAAGGCCUUCGGGUUGUAAAGCACUUUCAGUAGGGAGGAAGGUAGUGUAGUUAACACCUGCAUUAUUUGACGUUACCUACAGAAGAAGCACCGGCUAACUCCGUGCCAGCAGCCGCGGUAAUACGGAGGGUGCGAGCGUUAAUCGGAAUUACUGGGCGUAAAGCGCAUGCAGGCGGCCUGUUAAGUCAGAUGUGAAAGCCCGGGGCUUAACCUCGGAAUUGCAUUUGAAACUGGCAGGCUAGAGUCUUGUAGAGGGGGGUAGAAUUUCAGGUGUAGCGGUGAAAUGCGUAGAGAUCUGAAGGAUACCAGUGGCGAAGGCGGCCCCCUGGACAAAGACUGACGCUCAGAUGCGAAAGCUGGGGGAGCAAACAGGAUUAGAUACCCUGGUAGCACAGAG